CAAAAAUAGCCUUCUCAGUUUUAGUUUUGAGAAACAAAUUGAAAGAGAGAACGAGAGAAAUAAAUCGAGAUCCGGAGAAAGAGAAAGAUCGAAUGAGAAAAUGAUUGCAGUGUUGAUUUCCGGGUUUUCAACUUUUGAUCUAAAUCGAUUGAGAGAGAAAUAAACACCAGAUUUUUAGAUUUUUAAUUCAAUUUAAUGGGCUCAAAAUGAAUCUCUUCAUGAGCAUCUCUUCAAGCUUAGUUCAAAAAAAAUUGGUUCGAUCUUCAACUCGGAAUGCAUGCCAAACAGGGUUUGAUUCUCACUUUUUGUGUUUUAAUUCUUAUUUUUUUCCUUCUCGAAAUUUCGCUCGCAGUUUUCGUCUAUUUUUAUCGGAAAUAGUUAUCAUUGUUAUUCAAAUUUUUAUUGUUAACAAUAGGCUUUAAAUGAAAUACUCAAAGAAAUGUUUAAUUUCUGAGUUCAAUCUUUAAUUAAGAAAAACUAAUUCGUUGCAACUUUCAAUUUGAGGUAAUCUGUGUUACUUUUGAAUGGAUCCAUAACAUUUUUGCACUGGUUAUGUUCACACUGCACAAUUUGAACAAGCAAUCAGAUUAUUUGAUCUUUUGCAGAUCUGCUUGUUCUGGUUUGGGUGGAUUAUAACUUGGUAAAAAAACUUCAUAUCUCUACAAGCAUCACUAAAUGUUUAAUCCGUGUAGAAAAUCUUUACACAUUCAAACUGGGUAGAAAUUCUGCACACAUUCAAUCUGUGUAGGAAAUCUGCACACGUUCAAUAUGUGCCGAAAAUAUGCAUGUUCAAUCUAAUGAUAUGUUUUAAUUUUUGUACAUCACUGGAAACAUGAUAAAUCUUUAAUCUUUGUACAUAUUGCUUGUAUUGUGAAUGCUAUAUAUUUCAUUUUUAUUCAUCAUACUUAAGUUCAUUCCACAAAUGCACUGUAUAUAGCAAAUUAUGCACUUUAAUCUGGAGAUGUUGCUAACCAAAACCAACAAACUAGUUUUGUUAGAUCGGUUGGUUGGUCUAUGUAGGUCUCUGGAUGCGGUUUAUGGAACCAGAGAUAUUGAAUUACCAUUGGUGCAGUAAAUUCAGUUUACUAAUUCUUGCAAAUAUUUGUUUAUGGAGACGGAAAUGUUGCACUUAACACUACAUCUAUGGUAACUGGGACUGUCGAUGUUAAUCCAGUAACUACAAUAUCGAGUACUAAUAAGAUAGAUAUGAACUUGAGAUGUGGUGAUUUCGGUAAGGCACGGAGACAUUUUGAUCAGAUGUCAUGUGGGAAUCAUUGGUUAUGUUCAAAUUGCACAAUUUGAAUGAGCAAUCGGAUUGUUUGAUCUUUUACAGACCUAUUCUAGUGAAUUUUUUACACAAUUUGUCUGAUUGUCCUUGUUUGGGUGCAUCAUAUCUUGGUAAAAAAGUUCAUACUUUACAAUUUGUCUGGUAGAUAAGCAUUGCAUCAGCACCGGAUAUCCAUAUGCAAUCGUAAAGACUGCUCCUUAUCGUUACACUGUUAAGGCAUUUUCCUGUGGAGGCAGUAUUCACAUUUUUCAUGUGCAGGAAAUACAUACACUUUCUCCCGUGAUGGAAAUAUACACACUUUUUGAUGUUAUAUUUGUAUCUUCUUUUUUGAAUUUCUUUCUUUUAUUUUUAUAGUGUGCUUCGUUCGCCACGACAACUUGUAAAUGGAGAUUCCAUGCUUCAUCCAUCCAAGGUAACCUGGAUCUGUUUGAAAUUAAAAUAUUUCACAAAGAGCACACAUGUGGAGCUGGUACUGCUGAUUCUCGCAAAUUUAAAUGCAAGCGUAAGUUUGUACAAAGUGUCAUAAUGGACGAUAUAAGACACGAUCUACACGAAGAAGGCUUCUGAUAUCAAAAGUAUCUUUGAAUUAGAUUAUGGGAUAGAUUUAACUUACCAUCAAGCUUAUUCUGGUCUUGAGUAUGGAAAGCAAGUUUUAUGGGGAGAUGAUAUUAAGUCAUAUUCAGACUUUCAAUGGUAUGUGGAUGUUGUGAAGAAGUAUAAUCCUGGUAGUGAAGUUGUCCUUGAAGUUGAUAAAGUCUCCAAGAAGUUUGAGAGAUUUUUUUAUAGCUUCUAUACAUGGCUUUAACUUCUGUCGUCCUAUGAUAAUCAUUGAUGCUACCUUUCUUGUCGGGAAACACAAGGGUGCACUAUUGGUAGCUGUGGGGAAGGAUGCUAAUCAAGGGCCUAUGCAUUUUUGGGAAUGCGUUAUGGAGAAAAGAGUUCUAGUGUUGCCGAAUCUUUCAAUAGUUUUAUAAAAAAUGACAAGGGUCUUCCACAUUCUUAUUUAGCGGAACAAAUUCGGGUUCAUCUUAUGGAAUGGAUCAUGUAUAAAAGGAAGAAAGAAUUUCAAAAUUGGAAAUCAUAUCUUACACCAAGAAUGGAAUACAUACUUAAGACCAUUAAGGAUGUUGGUAGAAGCUACAGGGUUAAGCAAGCAGGGGAGGGCUUGUUCGAGGUGUAUACGUUAGCUCCUCCAAAGAAGCAUUUAGUAGAGUUGUAUGCUAUGAGUUGUACUUGUCGAAGAUGGGAUGUUAACGGAUUCCCAUGUUCCCAUGGUCGAAGAAGAGGAUAUGGAUUGAGAAAAUACUUUGGCUUAUAAGUGAAUUUUUUUACUUUGAACUACAUUUUUAUACAGUUUUUAUGGGUUCUGAGAUGCUACAUUUAUCUUUUUUACACAAAUUAUUAUGUUAGUUUUUUUUUCAUGUUAUUAGACUGCAUUGGUUUUUAUCUUGAGAAGGAAUAAAUUUAUUAUAGACUGCAUUGGUUUUU